AGCGAACGCUGGCGGCAGGCUUAACACAUGCAAGUCGAGCGGGCGUAGCAAUACGUCAGCGGCAGACGGGUGAGUAACGCGUGGGAACGUACCUUUUGGUUCGGAACAACACGGGGAAACUUGUGCUAAUACCGGAUAAGCCCUUACGGGGAAAGAUUUAUCGCCGAAAGAUCGGCCCGCGUCUGAUUAGCUAGUUGGUGAGGUAACGGCUCACCAAGGCGACGAUCAGUAGCUGGUCUGAGAGGAUGAUCAGCCACAUUGGGACUGAGACACGGCCCAAACUCCUACGGGAGGCAGCAGUGGGGAAUAUUGGACAAUGGGCGCAAGCCUGAUCCAGCCAUGCCGCGUGAGUGAUGAAGGCCCUAGGGUUGUAAAGCUCUUUUGUGCGGGAAGAUAAUGACGGUACCGCAAGAAUAAGCCCCGGCUAACUUCGUGCCAGCAGCCGCGGU
rnacentral:rRNA from 1 species